GAGAAUCUCGCCAACGAGCUCGAUGGGGCCGACCUCAGAGCCAUGUUCUUGAAGCACAACAACUGAUCAUCAAAAUUAAUAAGUAUUAUUAUUAAUAUAUAUUAAUUCGGACAUGGAAACUGAGGAAGGACGAAAGAAAAAUUAAAAAAAGGUUAAAAAGGGAUUUGUUCUGAUGUGGUCAGCCGCAUGAGCUCUCGAGGAAUUCCGGGAAAUUGGCGUAGCAGCUGCAGCUCCCCUGUUCUCUCUGUUUUGACUUGGGGAUCCAAACUAGAUUUUGUAUUGCAUGUAACAUUCCUGUUUUUUUGUUGCCAUUUUUCGGAAAUAAAGAUGAUUUAUUAUUUACAAUUCUGAUAUAUGCAAUUGGCGUUGUAUCUUUCUUUCAUCUAAUCGCUUUCGCUUCCAUACCAUCCUAAAAGUAUUAAUGUAUCAUGAUGACUCUCCCAAUCAGCAGGAGUUGCCAAGUGUCCAAGACGCUGCAUGUUACUUGUUCGUUUUCUGCUUUGUACUAGGCAAAUGUUUACAAUUUCUAUUAUUCAUCGAGCCGCUCACAUCGCUAAAGAUCGCUUCCGUUGUCAUACAAGUGAAAAAAAAAAAAAGGCUCCGGUGGCUAUCGUAUUCGUAGAUGCAUAAUAUUUUACGCUUGAUAAAUAAUCCCCAAUUAUUUAAUAGAAUUGUAGCUAAUUAUUGGAUGGAAUUUGGUUUAAUGAUACAUUGAGACCGUGGAAAGCUUUCUGUGAUUAUCUUCAGAUUCGUUAGUCGAACGCUUGGGGACCUCUAAUAUUCUUAUUCUUGAUAAUCACAUAUUCUCCAUCAUUGUGAAUAAAUAAUUAAGUGGAUACGACGAAUGCGAUACAAUCGUCUUCGUCUUCUUUUAAACAAUUAUUAGGCUCCAAUUUAUUUAUUUGGUCUGAAUUCUGUGGUGGGGUCGAUCCUGCUAAUUUUGUGAUGCAGGCGAAGACACGGGUGAAUGGUCGGUCUACUUUUGAGUUGUGAUGAUCAAGAGUAUAAAACGAAGCUAUUUUCUGAUCAACAAUUGUAUGCGCAACUUUUCUGCACUGAGAAGAGUCAACUAUCAACAGAACUCAUUGUGGUAGAAAGAAGUUUCUGAUGCACGCAUGUGUUUGAGUCGAUGUCAAGACAAAGUAAGCGACGCUGAGUUGACCCGGCACUUAUGGUUUACUGACUUGCAACAGGAGCUACCUGCUGUACCGUACAUCCGCCUUGGCCGUACAGCAGAGCUUAGAUCAAUUAGUAUGUUGAAGAAUGAUCAGAUGCGCAUCAUCUGCAUGUUAUUGUGCAUGAUAGGCCACGUGUUACUUGAUAAUUGGCCAAACUAUUAAACAUCAAUCUAUAAUUAGGUGACAUUUGGCUUAUCGCAUCUGAUUGGGUCUCUCAAGAUCCAAUACUCAAUAAAAACACUCUCAAAGAAAGAUAGUAAAUAGGUUUGCAUACGAUUCAAACAGGUGCAAGGUCAUUUCAUAUAUUAUUGCUUAGGGGAAAAGGUCACCCACGUGGUCACGCCCCUAAAGUUUAUUUAAAUGGUCACAUAGACCCCCUUAAUAUUAUAAGAAACUAUUAUAUUAUUUGAUUGUAAUAACCUAAGUAAAUAUAAAUAUAGUAAUAAGAUACAAAUAAUAAAUAAAUAGCAUAUGAUAUAAAUAAAAUAUUACAAGAAGUAUAAUUAAUAAAAUUACAUAUAUAAUGAAAAUUGUUUUUAGUAUUAAGUUAGUAUUAGUCUAUCCCAAGGGACUUUAUUAAUACUAAAAUCUAUUAAUCCAAAACUUGAGUUUAAAAAUUAUACUAAUAUAGAUAUAAUUAUAAACAAUAUUGUAAAUAAAAGAAUAUAAAUUUUAUAAAUUAGUGUGAAUGUUAGGCAUAAUUAUUGUACUAUUAUUAAUAUGUCAAAUAGAUUUUAUUACUAUUAAAAGAAUACGAAAAAUUAAUAAUAUUAAAAUAACUUUUCUAAUAUUCAAAAUAUUUUUUAAAUUUUAUCUUAUUUAUAUAUUAUAUUAUUUAGAGUUUAAUUUAUAUUGAUUACGUAUAGAAGUUUAAUUAAAGUCAAUUAUUCAGUUGUUUUAAUCAAGGGUAUAAUAGUAAAAAAAAAAUAUGCGUGAUCGUUUAAGUAAACUUUGGGUGUGUGAAUGACCUUUCCCCUAUUGCUUAUUAUCAAAUAUUUUCAGGCACAACUAUCUCACAAGAACAAAAGCCAACAAUUUCAUCUUUUGUGUUUGAGAGCAAAAACAUUUUCAUUUGGCUGAACUUUUUUUUUUUUUUAAACAUAGAAGGAUUUGAAUUAUAAACUUCUUUUUUACACUCAAGAAAUUUUACCAAUUGAAUUAGUUAGUAAAAAAAACAACGUGUUAAACAGGCAAAUUCAUUUUAAGACAAAACAAUGCGUCCCACUUUUAAUACAAGAAGACAUUGGAAUUUGGCAAAAAGUCUCGCAUACAUCAACGAGAAGGAAAAGAUUAGGAGCCAAGCUUAUUUGAUUUUCCCAUUGGUUCAUGCAAAGAACAAUUUGUUAAACGGGCAAAUUCGUUGGGCUUAUAAAUAUUUCUAAAGUGAGACUAAAAGGAGAAAUAAAGUCUCGAAGGGUUCAGCUAUGUUGCUACAGAAGUAUGGUACAAUUUUGUUUUGUCUUUUUGUGACUUAACCGUUAGAUCCAACAAAAGAAUUCCAAAAGUAAUCGCAACGGCAGGAUGUAUUUACUCAGGUAACUAACAUUGUAAUCCCUCUAGUUUUUUUAAAUGUCAGAAAGAAUAUAAUUAUUAUUAUUUUACUCUCCCACCCCCAUCAAUAGUCAUUCGCCUUUCUCCUCAUGCAACCCGUGAGUAUUAUUUAGAUUUUUUUUAUGUUUUAGUUGUUUAUUUUAUUUCUUUAAUAAAUAUUUUUAUUUAUUGACUAAGUUAUUAAAUAAUAUGAAUAAGGAAGAUGCAGGGAAUUUUGAGAAGAUUUUUAUUAUUGAUAUUGAGUAAUUAUAAUGCAUGAUUCAGUUGUGCAUCUAUGGGAGUCAGAACCACAUAAAUACAAUAAACCCUAUGAACUUUAGGAAGACAAAUCCUUGAUUUAUUCUAAAAAUACAUCAAUAUUUUAUAAUUCUCCAAUGAUUGCUAUUAUUUUCAUAUCUACUUCUAUAAUUAAUUAUCCAUAGUAUUGAGAAAGUACAUACCAUUAAAAAUGAAUUAACAAAAAUGAAGAGGAGUUACUGUUUCUUCUGUUUUUAUUUCUCUAGUUUUUUAUGGGAACAUAAUGUAGUUGAGUAUUGGUAGAGUAGUAUUUUCCUUAUCGUUUUAUGUAUAUUUGGUAAAAUUUGUAGAGACUUAUAAUGAGUUUAAUAAUAAUAAAAUUCAUGUAAAGAUUUCUAAUAGCUUUGUCGAUUUGAUUUUUAUGAAUCAAAAUGAAAAUUGAAAAAGUUUUUUUUUUGGGGUAACAUAUAUAGAAACAAAUAAAGUAAAGCUUGUCUGAUUAGUCAAAACUUAAAAGAGUUACUCAGUGUUUAGUUGAAUUUCUUUCAUAUUCGGCCAAAAAUUUAUGGUUUAAGCUUUUAAUAAUAAUAAUACAAGUUGAGAUGGGUAAGUUGUUUUAGUGCUUGCAUGUAUUCAAUCAAAUUCAAAUAAAGGUAGUUAAAUCCUAAUAAAUUUUUAACAAGAUUUUCUUUCUAACGUUAAUGAUUGAAACUUCGUGAUUUAAGGUAGUUAAAUCAGGAUUCUCUCAUGGUCUAAUAUUUUCAAAAAAAAAUCACUAAGUAAUUGGUAGUUAAUGAAUUAAAAAAUAAAGAUAAUUAUAUCCUAAUAAUUUAUUAACACUAAAGGACAAGUGUCACAAGAUUUUCAAAAUUCUAGGACAACUCAGAUUUAGUUGGCAAAAUUUGAUCAUUAAACCAAUUGAUUGUAUAAAAAAUUAGCCAAAUAAGCUUAUUAUCUUUGAGAGACCAGCAGCCAAUAACUAUAAUAAAAUCAACUUAAAAACAAGAGACCAAACAUAACUAAUAUUAGAUCAAAUCUAAUUGAUUAUUUACUAAAAACUCUUAUUUUUUUUCUUUUUUUAAUAAAUACUCUUAUGUCUUUGAAAAUUCAAAAAUAAAAAAAUUAUCUACGAAAUUCUAAAAAAAAAAAAAGGAGAAGAAGAAGAAAUCAGAUCAAAAAAGAAAAAGAAGCGUGGAGGAGAAAAAAAAUAACCAGGAUUAAUAUCAAACCAUGGAAAACAAAGAGAGAAAAUAAUAAAUAAUUUUUAAAUUAGGGCUUAUAUUAAAAUUUCAAAACCUUCAAUUUUUAUUAUUUUCAGAAAACAAGGACUAUUGUGUAAUAGAGCAUUAUUGUGGUACGGUGCAAUAAUAGUUUUGUCCUCGAAAUAAAAUGUGUAAUUGAUAAAAAUUUAACCUUGAGGUUUUAUAAUCUUUUAAAUCCUAAUCUAUGAACACAACAGAUUCUGCCCAUUAUUAGAAAAAUACUAGAAAUUAAAGUAAGAAAAAGACAAAAAAAAAAAUUGAAGUAACAAAUGUGUUUGGGGAAUGAAAUAGGGUGACCAAGAUAAAGAUGUUUGCUCAUACAUUAUCGUGCUCUCCUCUAGAGUAAAAGCGAGCAAAUGGUUGAGCAGAUCACCUCGACCAGGAUAUUAUUGGUCACUUUGAGUAGAUCACCUCGACCAGAAUAUUAUUGGUCACCUCGACCAGGAAGUUACCAGAAAGCACGAUUCAGUCAAAAUAUUUUCUCCGAAAUAUUAGGGACCAUAUUCUUAGUGAGCUGAAAAUUAGUAGUUUUCUUGAGAAUCCUAGGGGAGAGGAUAAAAAUCGCUAUAGUUUCCUAUAAAAACCCUAAGGGGGGAUUCUUCUAGCUCUCUCUCUCUCUCUCUCUCUCUAAGCAACUGAACCCAUUGGACAUUUUUCUCUCUCUACCACUGAGAAAUUUCUCUUUCGCCUGUGAUUUCUUUAAGAUUGAUUAUUUCAAAUUCUUUUCCUUUAAAUUUACUUAAAAGCUUUUUGUUUAAAGCAAUCAUAGUUAAGCCACAUGAACUGUGGUAUGGGUUUUUCCAGGUAAGACCCGAAUCGCUGACUUGAGCGUCGAAGGGUUCUCGCCGGAAAAACUUCCAGCACCUCCUGACUAUUGGUUGUGUUCACAGGCUCACAGGUUAUCUGCUCAUUGGUUGUCUGCUCAUGGAUUGUCUGCUCAUGGAUUAUCUGCUCAUGGAUCGUCUGCUCAUGGAUUGUCUGCUCAUGGGUCAUCUGCUCAUGGGUUAUCUGCUCAUGGAUCGUCUGCUCAUGGGUUCUCUGCUCGUGGAUCGUCUGCUCAUGGAUUAUCUGCUCAUGGGUUGUCUGCUCACAGAACAUCUGCUCAUAAAAAAUCUGCUCAUGGUACUAACUAAUCAGUAGUUUCCCACCAAACAAAUUUAAUGAUGAUGCAGGGAUCUGAGAUUUAAUCAACUUAUCCGGAUUUUGGCAUCAACAAAAUGAAUCUCUUAUAAAAAAUAAUAAUAAUAAAAAUCAGAGAAGAUUCAUAAAGUGCUGAAAAUUAAGUAACUUUAAAUGCGACAUUCGGUCCAAAAACAUUGAAAUUUGGCAAUAAUCUCAUGGUUAACAAGGCAAGGGGAAUGACAAUGAAUGCUGUUCGUCUUGUCACAGGCUUCCGUCCAAACAGUAUAAUAUACGUCCAAAAUUCAACAUUCAUAGCCGUUAGCCCACGCCAUCUCCCGCAUCAAUAAUUUUUCAAAUAAUUUUUUCUCUCAGCAUUUUUAUAAAUUUAAUUACCAAUAAAAUAUAAGUAGUAAAAUAUUCUAAAGGCAUUCUAAGCAUGUCGUCACUCUCGAGGGUAAAAAAAAAAAUUUAUUUUGGCACAAAAAAGAUUUGACGACAUGAUACUUGUAUUAAAAUUAAAAAGAAUAUUUAAAAUUUCUUAAAUAACUUGGCCCAAAAAAAAUUUAUUUAUUGUUUUGAAUGAAAAUUCUAUUAAAAACUUAGAUAAAGGUAAUACAUUUAGGAUUCUUAUGCGGUUUUAAAAGGAAUAUAUAUAUAUGUUUUUGGUUAAAAUUUAUGGGAAGAUGAUUAAUUUAAUAUAUCGAUUUAUAUUUUACCGAUUAACUUGAGGGUAUUUUAGGAAAUAAAAUUUAAAGAGGAUUAAAAGCUCCACUCAGAAAAGAAAGGUUAGAAUGGGCUCGGCGGACUGUAGCCUGAAAUCUUCGAGCCGGGUUCUAAACCCAACCCGAUCAGGAAGUAAAGUGAAACUAAAGGCCCCAGAGUCCAGACCCAGUUGCUACAUCAAACGCAAAUCGUCGAAGGCUUAGGCUUGUCUCCGGUCUCAGCGUAAGUCAGCACAGAAGUUCGCACGUUCAGCGAGCUGGAAGAGAACCGUCUGCGGUACAGCCCCCUUUCUCUUUGUCUCUUGUCCAAUUCUGUCCUUCACAGUUUAACAAAAAAAAAAAAAGUUCUGUAAGACUUGUGGGGCUUUUUUUUGGUUGGGCUUUUUCGUUAACAUUUAAUUGUUACAUAGAAACGCGAUGGCUCAACAAGCAGCAGCAGAUCAUCAACAGCUGGAUUCACCGCUCCAAUCGCCACAGCCGUCUAGAGACGACAUGAAUAUGAUAUCGUGUGUGACAGCAUUAGAGGCUGCCCUGCUUCCAUGCUUGCCCGCCAGAGAGCUUCAAGCCAUUGACCGUUCUCCACAUCCCUCUCAUCAAAGUUAGUUACUUCUUCUUCUAAUUUUUAAUUAUUGUUUUUUAUCAAUCAAUAUUCAACUUCAACCCUCCAGCAGUUUACUUGAAUCAUGUGAUUUGGCUGCCAAAUAACAUCAAAUGUUGCAAGUUUUUAGUGCUAGUCAGAGUCAAUCUUUGUUUAUGGCUAAUCUUAGGAUAGGGUAUAUAAUUUGUAAUAUAUUAUUUUCCGAGAUGGCCUGCAUGCUUGUUUCGGAUAAAUUAAAAAUAUAUAUCCCUUCAAUUCUUACAAAAUGCUUAUCCAUAUAUUUUUAGUAUUACAGAAUUAUCAUCUUAAGGAAAUCUUGCCAAGUAAAAAUAUGAGAUAGAAUUGUUGUUGAUCAUAAGAGGAAUAUUUUUUAGUGAAGUUUUGAGAAAACGAAUGAAGUUUGAAAUACCAAUUAAUUGAUGAGUGGAUAUUCGAUGGUUCUUUCAAUCAGUGCUGAUAGUGUAAUCUUAGUGUUCUUCCAUUGUGCAACAAUGAUUCCGUGGCCCAUAAAACAUUAGGAUUAUAGUAUAAAAAAGAUACUACUGGUAAAUUGUAAUUCUUCUAAUUUGAGAAACCUGUAUGCUAUUUCAUACCUUGAAACAAUGAAUACCCGUACGAGCUUUAAGAUUGGCUAAUAGAUUUCAGAACAAAUUUAAAAUAUUUCUAGCAAAUGUCAUAAACGACUGAACAUUAGCAAUCCAGAUAAAGAGAGAAUAGAAUCAUGAUUUUGAACUGUGUGGAAGAAACACAGAAAAGGUAUCCAGAUCAUUAAGGGAAAAGAGUGAUGAGAUAGUUAUGAAACGAUACGGAAUGCCUCUCGGAGGUGAUGACCUUUUGCUUCGUAAACAAUAGUGCUCGUCAAUACUUUGACAUUAUUUGAAAGUUUUAAAGAUUGAAAGCUAUUAUACACAAGAGAUUGUGAGGAUUUGGAUUUGGAUCCAUAUAAAGAUUCUUGUAACCUCUGAGUUCUCUUUUUUGUUGUACGUUUCCAUAGUUGCGGUUGAAGUUCCUUUUGAGUUUGAUCCCGAAAUAAGCUUUUAAAGUGGAUGCACUAUGGAUCAUCCACUCGCUUGAAUUAAUAAAUGGAGCACUAGGCAGAGAGAGUGUUAGAUUCACUCAAUGGACAGGACUCUCUCUGUCCCCCUCCCUCCCUUCCAUAAACAACACAAACAGGCACAACAAGUGGCUGCUGGUGUUGGUAAGUUUAUGAGUGAAUUGCAGGCAUGUUGUUUAUCGGUCUUCAUUGAUUUGUUCUCUAUCUUCGCCAAGUUAAUUAAAUUAGCUUGUUGUCUACCGUCUACAAAUGCAGUUGCCAUUUUGUCUUUAGUCUAUUUAUACACGGUCGAGAUGAAGUAUGUUGCCCAUUUCUGCCAAAGUACGCAGUCUUAGCCAAUUUCGUAGUUCGGGGUGUGAACAAUGCAGGUAGGUGGUUGGGCAUUUAGCACUGACCCAGGCUGCUAUGAAUAUUUAUAUUUCUAUGAAAUGAUGUCCUUCUUUAAGACUUUGCCUGGGAGUAGAGAUGAAAUGUAUAUGAUAAUAUUUUGUGGCACCUCAUGCUAAUGUAAUUUAUUGUUGCUACAGCCAUCAGCUGUAAUUGUAUAAUACAUGGUUGAUUAUAUCAUCUCAUUUACUCGUUGAAUUUACUCAACCAGCAUUAAAAAAAAAAAAAAAAAAAGAACAUCCAAUAGUUUACUUAUUCAUCUCCUUUUCAGGCUGGUAGGACAGUAGAUUCAUUAUGAGUUAUAGAUGGACAUUACCAUUUAUCCGCCUCUCUCAUAUCUCUGAUUAUGGAGGUGAUUGUGGAAUUAGCGUAAAAAAAAUGCCCUUUCAGCAUUCCUCUUUUUAAACAUUGUUCUGCUUAUUUAGUGUACCUGAGGUAAUCCCAUUCUUUCUAUUGUUCUUCCUGACAGUUUAUCAUAUUUCUUUCAUGAAUCUUAUAUGGCUCUAUGAGAAUGCUCUUGAUUUGUAUUGGCUGAAAUACCUGCAAAUGCUUUACUUAUAUAUUCGCAAGUUAUUGGACCUUAUGAUUUAGGUUUUAACCACUACGAAAAUUGUUAAUGGGAUAAAAUUUCAUUGGGCUCAUUCUUCUAAUGGAGCUGCAAUUUUGUCCUUGGGCUGAAGAAAUCCUUUUCCUUAUUGUUUCAGUUGAUGUGGAGAGGCAUGCUAGAGAUUUUAUGGAGGCUGCCAAAAAGCUUCAACUGUACUUUAUUAGUCUGCAAAGGGAGGAUCAGCCAACGGAGGUGGAAAUGCUUAGAAAGGUAAUCUAUUCACCACGCGGCAUUUGAUACAAUCUAUAAUUGGGGAUUAUUGAUUGGGGACCUUUAUGCAUCCGCCCUGCUUUAACAGGACAUUGCAAUCAUGGAAGAAGAACUGAAGGCUAAAAAGGAGCUUAUAAAAAAACAGGAGAGACUCGUACAACGGUGGAGGAAUGAUUUGAAAGGUCAAUUGGAUAAACAUAUCACUGAGCUGGAGAGGGUCUAACAGUGGAAAGAAUCUUUAUUUACAAUGCCUUUUAUGUAACUCUCUAGAAAGUGCCAUUGCAUUGUACCUAUGCUUGAGGUAGUUUAACCAUGUAUGCCCCUGUGGAUUGUCAGAGGCUUGCUUUGAAAGCACCUUAUAGGAACACCCUUGAGAUAACAUUUGUCUCUUUUGUUGCCUUGGUUCGCAAGUUUGUCAAAAUGUUACUUGAAUUUAAAGCUGCUAAAAUUACAACAUUUUCAUUCUAAGCUGUAUGCUUGUAAGGAGAGAUAUAAAAGUUGGUUUCUUGAUUUGAUAAGAGUGAUGGUGGGCAAUGAUUCUGUCCUCGACAGAAUAAACGAGGGCAAGCUAAAAGUUACUGUUGUAUAACUAACGUCACACUAGCAUAUUGCAUCUUGAUAACUUGAUGCUAUCCAGAUGAACAUAUGUAAAACCAAAUUUGUCGAACACAGAGAUUACCAAGUAACCGAUGACAAAUACAUACACUGACCUUCAUGUAGUUCAAAGACCCAGUAAGUGGCCAACCAGAUAAACUAGUGUAAUUCAGCUAAACUAGUUAAUCAAUUUUCAACAUAAAGAAAGCAAGAACUUGUGCAGCCAUUUUCAUACAUAUAAGCACAGAGGCUCCUGUGAAACAUAGCAUGUAACAGGAAACCACAAAUUAGCAAACAUGACAUCUAACUAGAUUGACAAUGUAUGAAGUUAAAUAUUUGCCUGCAAUGAUAAUAAAAAAUUGCGAAAGGUAAUCAACAGAGAUUGCAUCUAUUUCUUGGCAUAAGUGAUCAACAACUGUUGCUGGCCAAUCUUUAAACUUUGGAGUGACUGCAUUGCAACUGUUGCUUGCAUUUCAUCUCCAUACUCCACAAAGGCAAUCCCGGGUUUUGCCUCCACCAUCCUAACCUCCUUAAAACCAGGGAACUGGGAGAAGAACAUUUGCAGCGCCAUUGGAGUUGUAUCAUGGGGAACAUUCUGAACAAAUAGGAUGUUAUUAGGUGGAGCUGGAGCCUCGGGGAUCACAGAUUUUGCACCACCUGGAUAGGGUAUUUGUGAUAGCUGCACCAUUUUGAAAAGACAGAGAGAUGGUAAGAAUCAUACAGAGGACUAUUAGAUAUUAAUCAAAAGAAACAAGGAUUUCAACUGUGCUUUUGUUAAAUGGCUAAUGAGAAAUGAGAAUGAGAUACUGUAUCAGACAACACCAUCAACCUAAACAGCCAAGACACUUACAGGAGGUGUUGCACCGUAGGCACCAGCAUAUGCAGGAUUCAGACCCAUUCCUGCUUGAUUAGCAUCAUGUUGGUCUUUCCGCUUUUUACCUGCCGCAUAAGAUGACAAUUAAAAUAAAUCCACUCCAUACAUUGCACGAUGUUAAUAUGAUACAGUAUAAUAACAAUUUGGUGUUAUUUUUUGUUCCUAAACAAAAGAAGGGAGUGAAAGCACGACAUGGAUUAACACCUAACAUACAUUGUGCUUUCUAUCAAAAUAUGCACCUAGGUGAUGGCAGCAUUCACUUUCACUUCCAUUUUAUACCACACACGGCAAAACAAAGUAAUAUAAGCACUUCCCAGAGGACGGCUGAUACUGUAUGAGAGAGGCUUACCCUUUUCCUCGUGCCGUUUUCGUCUUUCACGUGGAACAAAGGUACCAUCUGCUUUGGCUAUUAUAUCUGAUUUUGUUUUUGCAUAUUGUAUUCUCUGCAUUGAAAAAAUGGAUUUAUCAUAAAGAGAUAUAAACAAAAUCUCCUGGUCUAUGGCCAAACAGAAAAAUGAUUGCCAACAACUAAAACAAUGCAAAGAAUAACUAAAUGAAUAGACUUCGCCAAAGAAAAAAAAUUUCUGGAACCUAAAAUACCAAGAUUACUUGCCUCUACUUGAUUACCAACAUAAUACUCGAUUACCAACAUAACUCUAUGUUACAAUCCACACAGAAAUGCAAGAUGUAACCAAAGGACAUAGCAUUAUCACAUAAUUGACAAUAAAAUCAAAAUCCAAAAUGAUAUUUGGGCGAAGGGAUUAGAACAUAGAGUAAACAUUCUUCCCGGGAUAUAUUUGAACUUUCCUCCGAUUGAUAAUGCAUAUACAACUUUAUUCACUCAAAUUAAAAUAGAAUAUCCAGGCCUGAAUGAUCAACCACCAAAAAACACGCUGGAAUUUGGUGAAAUCUAGGUUUAGCUUUGCCUUUCAGGAAAAAUCAAAUUCAUCUCGAAGAAAUUCAAAAGACUCAGUCAAUGGGUCACCAACAAGCUGCAGUAAAACCCCCUACAAAAUCAAAACACCAAAGUGCACAUUCAAGCACAAAAGUUCAUAUAGAGCCAUCCAGGCACUCCAAAUGACAGUAGCCAUGACUUGUUGAUUAAGAUAACUAUCCAUGCAAGACAAGUAUUCCUAAGGUGCUCCAGGGUCCAUGAUGCGCAAUAUUUGCUGUACGAAAAGCUAAUCUAAGAAUAUCAAUACCCCCACAGAAUGCAAGAAGACUAGCAAGAGACAAAUGAAAACGAAACCCUAAUUUCUACAAUUACCCAAAAGGGAAAAAAAAUCAAAUUCCAGUUGCAUCAACGACAAAAAAGACCACAACUGUAGCAUAACUCACAAAUACAUUACUUUUGACUAAACUCUCAGAGUCUCCACUUUGCAUCAACUACAAAACAGACCACAACAGUAACAUAAACAACAAAUGGAUUACUCUUAACUAAACUCUCAGUCUCUCAACUCUCAAACAUGUUGUUGACACACAGACAAAAAUAAUUAAUUACAGCAAUAACAUCAUUUAAAUAAUCUCAAAAUUGCAAAGAUGAAAUUGUAAAACGGCGUCGCACCAUAGGCUUGUCGUAAAAUGGGAAGCCCUGCAUCUUCUCAACAGCUGCAGUGGCGGAUGCGACAUCUUUGAAAACGAGCCAAGCUUGGCCUUUGUGUUUCAGCGUCUUGAAUGCUAAAAUCUCCAAUAUCGUCCCGAAUUGCUUGAAAACUGCGUGCAGCGACUGCUUCAACUCUGCAUAAUUACCGACCAAACAAUUUCACUACAUCAAUACAAAGAUUAUUACAGUAAAGUAAUCGCAUGAGAUUAUUAAAAAAAAAAAAGGGGUAAAAAUCGCGAAACUUAACGGUCGAUUUUGACUUUCUCGUUGAGAUUGUUGAUGUAUAUAGUAUUGUUUGGAGAAAUUUCGUUGCCUUGAUUUGCCACCUCCGGCUCCAUCUUGUCGGUUGCCGUUCGCAGUAGGUACCCGUCUGGGGAUUUCAAAAGGGUUUUGUCAUUUGUGAGCCAAUGCAACUGCGGUAUGCCGGUGUGGGAUUUGCCCGAAUAGGCCGACAGGUUGAACCUGAUUGAUCAUUUUGGGCCCGAUUCUUUGGGCCUUGUCUCUUCACUUUAGCGCUUAGGUGUGUCCCUAAAUAACCUUGUUGUAUUUCUAAGAACACACCCAUCUCUAUAGUCCAAAUUAGUGCCUUCGUCUCCAUGCCAUCCGCACUAGUGUCCCAGGCAUUGGAGUUAAAGAAAAAGUAAAAUGGAUUAACUAAUCGAUUAGGUGCAUAUAAUAUUUCCUGCGCGGCGGUUUCAAAAUUAAAGGAAAAAUAUUCAACUGACCAUCUAAAGUUUUACACUUUAUCAAAGAUUUUUUUUUUUGGUUUUUUUUUUUUGUUUUCUUUUUCACUUGAAGUUUAUAAAGUGUAUCAAUGUUACACUUGAGAAAUGUGCCUCAUUUUCCACAACAAUGGAUUCUUCACUAUCAAAAUUAUCAAACCCAACAGUCACCAGCCAUUCAAUCUUGUAUUUCAGAUUUUUAAUUAUUUAAUAGAGCAAUAUAUAUAUAUAUAUAUAGAGAGGGUGUUUAUGUUAGAUUAGAGUUUUACUUUGAUUUGUGAAUUUAUGGAGUUAAGAGUUUGUAUGACUUGAAUUUAGGAUUUUGAUUUUCACCCACUUGAAGUUUUAUCGUGAAGAUUUUUCUUUUUUAUUUUAUAAUCGAGAAGUAAUUUUAAAACAUUUAAGAAUUCUAUAAAUUGAAAAUUAUGUAAUUUAAAAUUUUUAAAAUUUUAAAAAAUAUAAAUUUUUUUAAUGUUAAAGUCAAAUGAUAAUUUAUCCCUGUGAUGUCAAUAAAUUUCUAACGGUGUUGUGAUGGAAGUGGAGCAUUGACGCCCUUGCUAAACUUCAAGUAAACAACUAAAAAAAAUAUUAUGUAUUCUUUAUAAAUUGUAAGACUUUAGGUGGUUGGUAAAUAUUUGUCUAAAAUUAAAUUAAUCUUAAUACAAUAAUAUUAUUUGUAGGUUUGAAUAUAUUCCAAUACAAUUUAUUUGAAUCAAAGUGAACCAUGUACAAGUUAAUUUUUAGGGUUAGUAUCAUUUUACUACUUAAAAAAUUGUCAAAUAUCAAAUUACUACAACAAGUAUUGUCUCCUAUCACUUUCCUACUAUAUCUUUAUAAAAAUAUCAUUUUAUUACUUUUCUGCUACAACCGUUAGUUGACCAACAAAAUACCAAUUUCACCCUUUAUGAUUAAAAAAAAUUACUUGAAACUUAUUUACAAAAUAAAUUUUUAAUAUAUUUAUUAAAAUGGAUAUAAAAUACCAACAUGAUUUUUUUUGUUGGAAUUAUGAAAAUGAAGUUUAUUUACAAAAUAUUUUUGUAUUAUUAUUAUUUUUUAAUGAAACUUAUUUUUUUAAUCAUGAAUGGUAAAAUUGGUAUUUUGUUAGUCAACUAACUGGUCAACUAACGGUUGUAAUGGAAAAGUAGUAAAAUGAUAUUUGUUAUAACGGAAAAGUAGCAAAAUGAUAUUUUUAUAAAGAUAUAGUAGGAAAAUGAUAUGAGACAAUACUUGUUGUAAUUAUUUGAUAUUUGGUAAUUUUUGAAGUAGUAAAAUGAUAAUAACCCUAAUUUUUAUCUCUUAAUUUUGAAGAUUAAGGUUAAUAGUGUUUUUUUUUAAUUAAAAAAAAAAAAAAAGCUGUGGGUCAACAACUAUCAAGUCUAUCACUAAGUCUAGCAGAGGAAAAAAAUGGCCCCUUGAAUCAACAAAGAGAUGAAGUGAAGGUGUGGUAUACGACCCCGCGACCCUUGUGAUAAAAACAAAGACAGAUUCGGUGAUAAUAUAUAACAGAGAAUAACAAUAACAAAGAGGAGAAUAUGUCAUCAUCAACUACGAGGGUUCCAGGAUAAGGAUGGAGCAAAUUGAAUUUUGUUACCACAUAAAUGGAUAGGCCCUCUUGCCAAUUUUAAUUGUAAUAGGAGAUACUUUUAUUUGUACACAAUUCAUUCUUAUAUGAAUCCCAAAAUCAACUUCAUUUUUUAAAUUUAAUUUUUGGAUGGGUUGACUUUAACUUAAAAAAAAAAAAGGGAUUUAGAAAUUAUUUGACUAAAAUAUUUUAGUUAAAUUGUCGCAACACCAACAGCAGACCAUCACUUUUCACAUUUACUAUCAAUUGGAUGUGUUAUUCAAACCUCCAACAAAAAAAAAAAAAAAAAAAAAAAAAAACUUUAUGAAGACAUGAAGGUUACUGGGAAAAAAAUACUAAUAAUAGUAGUCUAAUAUUUUAUGUUUUUGACCAAAAGUCAAGAAUUUUAUUGAUAUCGAAUCACUUUCGUAGUUCUUCAAAAUGUGUAGUUUUUGGGUAAAAGCUCAGAGAAAACUGAAUAUUAAUUAGAACGUCAAACCUCCAGCAUUUUAUCGAGCAGAAAAUUCAAGUGUAACGAUCGCACAAUAUAAUUAUGGUAUCAGUAAAUAAUAGAAUCAAAACAAUUAUUGCAACAUGUACAUUAAAAUAAAUAAAAGAAAAUUCAAAUCAAGAAAAAUAAAAUGAAUCAGUGAGUGCAGCGUAUAUAUUUUUUUUUUAAGAAAAAGAAAUUAAGAUUCAAUUCAACAAAAAUAAAAUGAAUCAGUGAGUUCAGCAAUUUAGCUUGGUCAGUGAUCCAAAGUGGGUAGGUGGGUGAUUUUGGUUUUUACUCUCUAUUUUCCCCAAAAAAAAAAAAAAAAAAAAAAAAAAAAACCCUUUGGAUGAAGACAUGAAGGUUACUGGGAAAAAAAUACUAAUAAUAGUAGUCUAAUAUUUUAUGUUUUUGACCAAAAGUCAAGAAUUUUAUUGAUAUCGAAUCACUUUCGUAGUUCUUCAAAAUGUGUAGUUUUUGGGUAAAAGCUCAGAGAAAACUGAAUAUUAAUUAGAACGUCAAACCUCCAGCAUUUUAUCGAGCAGAAAAUUCAAGUGUAACGAUCGCACAAUAUAAUUAUGGUAUCAGUAAAUAAUAGAAUCAAAACAAUUAUUGCAACAUGUACAUUAAAAUAAAUAAAAGAAAAUUCAAAUCAAGAAAAAUAAAAUGAAUCAGUGAGUGCAGCGUAUAUAUUUUUUUUUUAAGAAAAAGAAAUUAAGAUUCAAUUCAACAAAAAUAAAAUGAAUCAGUGAGUUCAGCAAUUUAGCUUGGUCAGUGAUCCAAAGUGGGUAGGUGGGUGAUUUUGGUUUUUACUCUCUAUUCAUGCCCCUUUAUAUUUACCUCUUUUUUUCAUUUUCUUUUUUUUUUGGGGUCAAAUAUACGCAAACAUUUGCUCCAAUUAUAUAAAUGUUCAAUUAACAGUAUGUUCUGAAUGGGGCCCAUGCGUUCAAUAAGAAGCUUCUAUAGACACUUGCCGUCUUUUUAACAUGUCAACAUUUGACUAUCACACGCAUUUAAAUUUUUUUUGCCUAAUUGAAUAUUUAAUACAUUUCUUCUAGAAAACAAUACAUACAUAUCUAUUUCGUCUCAGAGUCAGACGACGUACAUCCCCAAAAAAAAAAAAGAAAAAAAAAAGAAAAAGGGCCGGCGUUGUAGGUUUUAACCCCAAUUCACGGGGCCUCUAGAGUGGGUCACAACCUCUCUUUUUCUUUUUCUCUCUCUCGAGUUUUUCUUUUCUCUCUCACUCUCAUUCUCUGUUCACUGCAACAGAGAAAUAAAAGCUAAGGGAACCCUUCACAUGCAUCAAAUGCUCAUUAAUAAGUUUUGAGGAAGUAAAUCCAAAAGCACAUUAGUAUUUUCAUCUUUUACAGGGCUUUAAUUAAAUGUAUUAUCAUCUUUUAUUCAGUUAAUACUUUGCCAAUUACUAAUAUCUUCGCUCAAAUUCACUUUUUUUUUUUUCUUGUGCCAAGUUUACUGAGAGUACAAUUUUAAACUUGAACUAACUUUUUCUAUUUACCAUUUGUAAACAAUUAAUGACACACAAUUAUUCAAGAAAACUGUAAAUUAACUUUUCUUAAAACUAAUAUUUUUCUUCUAUCAAAUAGAGUAAUCAGGCACACAAUUGUUCCUAAAAACAAGUUACGAACAUAAUUUUAGAUAGACUAUCAAAUUAUACUUUGUCAUUUGUGCUACAAAAGGUUGUGGCCCACUAUUGAUAUUUAAUUUAAGUUACGCACCAUGUCUAAUUUUGUUUAAUUGUAUUGCUGCCCCAUCACUUGUCACUUGAUGCAUCAAACUUGCACUCCAGUCCAGGUCCAGGUUCAGCCCUGCCGCCCUUAAGAGCCUAUGCUGGCAGGAGCAAAGCCGUCGCUAGCUAUAUACCAGCCAGCAGAAAGUUCAACUUAUAGGGCCCAUUUUCUUAUGACGUAUCCAACUUGAGCAUGAUUUCUGGGACCCGGACGAUCACAAUAUCACAUAAAUAUCUAAGAGCAUCUCCAAAUAGGAAACAGAUCCGGUGCUCAGCUGAGUUUGUGCUGAGCACCGGAUCCUAGUCCCUCCAAAUAUCAAUUUAAAGAGUAUUUUCAAAUAUCUAAGAGCAUCUUCAAAUAUCCAAUUUUUUAGAUUUUAUUUUUCAAAUAUUAAUUUAUUUACUGAUGUAGUAAAUAAGUGGAUGAAAAAAUACAAUCUUUUUCAAAAGGCUCAUCAAAUAAGAAUAAGUUAAUAUUAUUUUAAUUAAAAUUUUCUACUAUUAAAUUGAAUUGUUGUUAUGUUUUUUAAAGAAAACAUAAAUAAUAAUUAUUACAGUCUUAUUUUUUUAAUAAAUAAUAAUAAAAUAUUAAUAGAAGAAGGAGAAACUCACUCGACAAUAUUAAAGAGUGAAAAAUAAAUCUUAUUUGAAGAAUAUAAAUUAACGUGUUUUUUUAGAGUAUUUAAUAUUGUAAUGACUUUUUAAAUAAGAAGUAAAAUUUUAUUUGAAAGAAUUUUUUGAAAAUGCUCUUAGGUAAGUGCAGACGUGCAGUUACUAUAACAUGCAACCAGAUGCGGCGCCUCUGCUUUAGGAGCAGAGCUCUGCCAUAGUUUUGCUGCCUUGCUAUGGGCUAACUAAAUGCAGAGGAUUCUUGAUGUGGCCUUGUGGCUGGCCUCAACUACGUAUGUUGAAGCCACACGUACGAGAAUCAAAUAUUUGUCUCUCAUAAAUGCCGAUGGGUAAAUAUCUUUUUAAAUAUUAGUAAGUGAAGAUAUUAGUAUCGAUAGGCCCCUGAACUACACACGAACGUAUGUAUUCAAGUUUCAAAUACACAGAUUAUAACCAAUUGAAAAAAUGCAAAGUAUCUUUUUCAAAUCCCAUAUUUUAAAUUGGGAAAAGUCACCCAUAUUCCCUAAAUUUACUUAGAUGAUCACAUAAACUACCAUAAGUGGUCACACGAAUCCCUUUUUAAUGAUUAUGCCAUUAAAUUAUAACACAAAAAUUGACUUUAAAUAAAUUAUUAUGACAAACGCAAAGAUAAUAUUACCAUAAUAUAAUACAUAUAAAUAUUAUAAACUAUUUUGAAUAUUAAGCAAAAUUAUUUUUAAUAUUAUUGAUAAUAUUUUUAUAUCAUGUCUAUAUCAGCAUAAGUCCAACAUUAAUUUUUAAAUUAAUAGAUUUAAGUAAUAAUAAAGUCUAUCAAGACAUAAUGGUAAUAGCUUAAUAUUAAAAACAAUUUACAUCAUAUAUAUAUAUAUAUAUAUAUAUAUAUAGUUUUAUUUUUUAUAUUUUAUUUGUAUGUUAUUUUAUUUAUUUUUAUUAACUCAGUAUUGUACUUAAUAUUUAUUAUAAAAACUUUCUCCAUAAUCUAAGGAUAUACUUGUUAAAAAGAAAUUUAUAUGGCUAUUUAUGAAAAUAAAAGAAUAUACGUGAUCAUAUGACCUUUUUCCUUUCAAAUUUAAAGGGGAUAAAUUUACACAAGGAAACAUCUAACAUGACCUUGCCCACCGAUCUCGGAUAUUUAAUUGACCAAUAAUACAUUUAUGCAGUUUUGUUGAAGGACACCAUUCCGAGCUCCAUAAAGUUUUUGGAUCUCCAAAAGUUACAGAUGCAUGAAUGGAUGGAUACGUAUAAAGCCACUCACAAUUUUUUAAAACAAAAAUGUAGAGGCAGAGAGAAAAAGAGAGAAGCAGAAAGCCAUCACGAGGAAUUCGGGUAAAUGAUUACAUCAACAGGGCGCUGCCUGAAUCUGUGAGUAGACAGCGAAGCAUAACAGCCUGUUGUUCACGUUAUAAAUGGUUGCAGCCACUUAAUUUUAUAAUUAAUUCGUAUCUUAAAAUAAAAUAAACCAAAAAUUAGUUAGAACCACAAAAGUGGGAAAUCUUAAAGCUGAUGCCCGUGUCAUCACGGAUCAACAUUUUCUACAAGAAGUAAUAAUGUUUAUGAAUGAAUCUUAAAUCAUAUUUUAAUUGAUGUAAUAUUUAUUUAUUUUUUAUAAAAUUUAUCAUGUGAUAAAUAAGUGAGUUGAAAUAUAAAUUAGAAUUUAAAUGUUAUUAAAAAAUUAAUUUAUUUUAAAAAUAUCACCAAAUAUAGUGACGUAGCAAUGAUUGCACCAUGGGCGUCUAAAACUUCGCUCUCUCUGGGAGGAAGCCGACCUUUCGCGGGGCGAGCGGUCAAAACGCAAAACUUGGAAGAAACGAAGCCGCCUCUUUCCUUCAACGAUCCGUCCACACCUUGCACGGUCUGGAUUAUUUAGUUGCCGCGCGAAUCAACGGGUAAUGGUUACUUAACUCCCCGCACUCACGGCGGCCUUUCCUCGCAUGUGAUUGUCGUUGUUGAUUGAAUGAAANNNNNNNNNNNNNNNNNNNNNNNNNNNNNNNNNNNNNNNNNNNNNNNNNNNNNNNNNNNNNNNNNNNNNNNNNNNNNNNNNNNNNNNNNNNNNNNNNNNNNNNNNNNNNNNNNNNNNNNNNNNNNNNNNNNNNNNNNNNNNNNNNNNNNNNNNNNNNNNNNNNNNNNNNNNNNNNNNNNNNNNNNNNNNNNNNNNNNNNNNNNNNNNNNNNNNNNNNNNNNNNNNNNNNNNNNNNNNNNNNNNNNNNNNNNNNNNNNNNNNNNNNNNNNNNNNNNNNNNNNNNNNNNNNNNNNNNNNNNNNNNNNNNNNNNNNNNNNNNNNNNNNNNNNNNNNNNNNNNNNNNNNNNNNNNNNNNNNNNNNNNNNNNNNNNNNNNNNNNNNNNNNNNNNNNNNNNNNNNNNNNNNNNNNNNNNNNNNNNNNNNNNNNNNNNNNNNNNNNNNNNNNCCCCCCCCCAAUCAAUCAGUCCCCUCUUUCUUGACCGUUCGAUCAAUUUUUUAAGUCAGCCGCUAUCAUUGAUCUCACAAGAAAAUUCUAGAAGCGAACCACCAACUUAGGAAUUAAAAUAUAAAUGAGGGGUAAUCAAGGAAGUGGUGGGUUUCAAAGAAGAACUUAAACGGCUCCUCGUAAUAACGACCAUGUGGCAAGCCACGAAGGGGCCUUUGCGUGUCUCUAGAAACCACCUUUGACCGAGUCGGUUUAAAAUUAAAAUUAAACACUGGUGGCUGGCACUUGCUCCUUCGAAGCUCUAUAUAAAGCACGUAGCUCCUCCUCUCUCCAAGAACCCAUAAACACAAACACUUUGAGGGGAUUUUCGCGCUACGAAGAGGGAAGUUUCUUUAGCUGCUGCUGAAGGCUUUUCGAUAGAAAGAAAAGAAGGAAAUUGCUUUCUGCAGCAGCGUUAAGAUCUCUUAUCAUCAUCAUCAUCCCACAUAACUAAGAAAAAUGGCUCGCUCUUUCUCAAACGCUAAGCUUUUCUCUGCUCUCGUCGCUGACGGAAUCUCUAACGCCAUCUACAAAAGAGGAUACUCGGCGGCAUCACAAGGCGCUGUGUCGCGGGCAACAGGGGGAGCUAGGAGUGCUGCUGCGAUGUUGAAGAAACCAGCAGAAGAGAUGACAGGAUCCAGUGAGAAGGUCUCGUGGGUCCCAGACCCAGUCACUGGUGUCUACAGGCCGGAGAAUCUCGCCAACGAGCUCGAU
rnacentral:lncRNA from 1 species